UUUAAUGACUCUCGGCAACGGAUAUCUCGGCUCUCGCAUCGAUGAAGAACGUAGCGAAAUGCGAUACUUGGUGUGAAUUGCAGAAUCUCGUGAACCAUCGAGUUUUUGAACGCAAGUUGCGCCCGAAGCCAUUUGGUCGAGGGCACGUCUGCCUGGGCGUCACGU
rnacentral:rRNA from 1 species